GAUGAACGCUGGCGGCGUGCCUAAUACAUGCAAGUCGAACGAACGGACGAGGAGCUUGCUCCUUCGACGUUAGCGGCGGACGGGUGAGUAACACGUAGGUAACCUACCUAUCAGACUGGGAUCACUUCGGGAAACCGGCGCUAAUCCCGGAUAAUAUUUCGAUCCGCAUGGUUCGAUAGUGAAAGAUGGCUUUGCUGUCACUUAUCGCUGGACCUGCGCCGUAUUGGCUAGUUGGUAAGGUAAAGGCCUACCACGGCAAGCAUGCGUAGACGACGUGAGAGGGGGGUAGGCGACACGGGAACUGGGACAGGGUCAAGACUCCUAAGGGAGGGCGCAGAAGGGAAUGUUACGCAACGGGCGAGAGCAUGACGGAGCAAGGGGGCGUGAGUGAUGGAGGUGUCCGGAGCGGAAUAAUGUGUUAUGAGGGAAGAACAACUUUGUAAGGAGAUGUGGAGGGAUUGACGGUAACUAAUAAGAAAGCCACGGCUAACUACGUG
rnacentral:rRNA from 1 species